GGAUAAUAGUUAAAUUAAUAACAUUUAAGUUGCAUUUAAAAGGUAUUGACGUUCAAUUUAUCUUAU
rnacentral:tRNA from 1 species